rnacentral:tRNA from 1 species
GGGCCGGUAGCUCAGGUGGUUAGAGCGCACGCCUGAUAAGCGUGAGGUCGGUGGUUCAACUCCACCUCGGCCCACCA